rnacentral:rRNA from 1 species
GACGAACGCUGGCGGCGUGCUUAACACAUGCAGGUCGAACGGAAAGGCCCUGCUUUUGUGGGGUGCUCGAGUGGCGAACGGGUGAGUAACACGUGAGUAACCUGCCCUUGACUUUGGGAUAACUUCAGGAAACUGGGGCUAAUACCGGAUAGGAGCUCCUGCUGCAUGGUGGGGGUUGGAAAGUUUCGGCGGUUGGGGAUGGACUCGCGGCUUAUCAGCUUGUUGGUGGGGUAGUGGCUUACCAAGGCUUUGACGGGUAGCCGGCCUGAGAGGGUGACCGGCCACAUUGGGACUGAGAUACGGCCCAGACUCCUACGGGAGGCAGCAGGGGGGAAUAUUGCACAAUGGGCGGAAGCCUGAUGCAGCAACGCCGCGUGCGGGAUGACGGCCUUCGGGUUGUAAACCGCUUUCGCCUGUGACGAAGCGUGAGUGACGGUAAUAAGUAAAGAAGCACCGGCUAACUACGUG